GAUGAACGCUGGCGGCGUGCCUAAUACAUGCAAGUAGAACGCUGAAGCUUGGUGCUUGCACCGAGCGGAUGAGUUGCGAACGGGUGAGUAACGCGUAGGUAACCUGCCUCUUAGCGGGGGAUAACUAUUGGAAACGAUAGCUAAUACCGCAUAAAAGACGAUAUCGCAUGAUAUUGAUUUGAAAGGUGCAAUUGCAUCACUAAGAGAUGGACCUGCGUUGUAUUAGCUAGUUGGUGAGGUAACGGCUCACCAAGGCGACGAUACAUAGCCGACCUGAGAGGGUGAUCGGCCACACUGGGACUGAGACACGGCCCAGACUCCUACGGGAGGCAGCAGUAGGGAAUCUUCGGCAAUGGGGGCAACCCUGACCGAGCAACGCCGCGUGAGUGAAGAAGGUUUUCGGAUCGUAAAGCUCUGUUGUAAGAGAAGAACGAGUGUGAGAGUGGAAAGUUCACACUGUGACGGUAACUUACCAGAAAGGACGGCU
rnacentral:rRNA from 1 species